UGUUUUAUUUAUUGUUUAUUGCAUAUAUAUGGCUUCAUUCCGCCAGAGAAUGGCGCUCUAGCCUCCAUAGACAUUACAAAUGUACAAUAAAAGUUGUUAAAAAGUAAACUACAACUAGGUAAAUACACACACACACACACACACUCAAACAACCCAACAAUAUAAUUAUAUUGCUAACUUUACACACGUGCGUGCCGCCAGGGAGGCCGGAGUGACCUGGGUCGAACGCGGGGGAGGCCGGAGUGACCGGGGCCGGAAAAACUAGGGGCCGGAGUGACCGGGGCCGGAAAAACUAGGGGCCGGAGUGACUUGCUACCGUAUCCUCGCCUGACCUGGUAACACUGCAAGAAAAAUACACAUCUGGCAAUGCAGACCUGCCAGACACCAGCCAGCCGGGGACCCCACGUCGACACUAGUGCUCUAACCUGACCAAAGAGUGCCGAUGUAAAGGACUGGCUUGUAAGAAAUCCUGAGCCUUCUGUAAGAUCAAGACCAAGAUCAAGAUAGGGCCUUCCGUAGGUCCGCUUUCUGAAGCACAGAGUCAACAUGUCUCCUCUAAUUUAAAACUUCUGAAGCACAUCCCUUUUUUUCUGUUCCCUCAACAAUGAUAGUAAUGCCUGACAGUUUUAAGCGCAGUGCAUCCCAUCAGUGGCAUUGGUGCAGUCACCCCUUCCAUCAACGCAGUCUUCGAGGAGAUCGACGCAGAGUGACGGCGUGGGGCUUGAUACAGAAACCAGUCAGAGGAUAGGGGCACUUUGAAGGCGAAGCACAAGUGGAUGGAUAUAAACCAGCCUCCAGCCAUUCAGCCUCCAGCCACUCAGCCAGCCAGCCAGCCUCUAUCCAGUCAGCUAGCCAGCCAGCCACCCUCGAGCCAACCAGCCAGCCAUCAACCCAGCAAGCCACCUAUCCAGCCUCAAGUGUCACGUAGCCUCACAUUCCACGUGACUGCCGCGUAAGGAGACGAGUCUGGUACGCACGCCCACGCCCACCGCUCUCCUCCCUGCCGCCUGACCGGCGCAGGAACGAGCCACUCAGCCCCUCUUGCCGGCUCCCACAGGCAUCAUCAUUAUUAAGACUCGGAAUAUUUUUGUAUUCGUGGCAUAAAAGACCAUGUUUUUUUUUUUUUUGUAC